AUAUUUGUCUUGUGGUGGACAAGCAAAGUGAUGCUGAUUUUUGAUACUUCAGCAUUGGUUUCUCAUUAUUGUAAAGUAGAACUUGCCAGUUGGAUUGUUCACCCAAUAACAAGGAAUGGGAGCUAGGAUUAGACCAUAGUGAGACUGGUU
rnacentral:ncRNA from 1 species